UCCCGAGUGCUUGCACUCAAUUGGAAAGAGGAGUGGCGGACGGGUGAGUAACACGUGGGUAACCUACCCAUCAGAGGGGGAUAACACUUGGAAACAGGUGCUAAUACCGCAUAACAGUUUAUGCCGCAUGGCAUAAGAGUGAAAGGCGCUUUCGGGUGUCGCUGAUGGAUGGACCCGCGGUGCAUUAGCUAGUUGGUGAGGUAACGGCUCACCAAGGCCACGAUGCAUAGCCGACCUGAGAGGGUGAUCGGCCACACUGGGACUGAGACACGGCCCAGACUCCUACGGGAGGCAGCAGUAGGGAAUCUUCGGCAAUGGACGAAAGUCUGACCGAGCAACGCCGCGUGAGUGAAGAAGGUUUUCGGAUCGUAAAACUCUGUUGUUAGAGAAGAACAAGGACGUUAGUAACUGAACGUCCCCUGACGGUAUCUAACCAGAAAGCCACGGCUAACUACGUGCCAGCAGCCGCGGUAAUACGUAGGUGGCAAGCGUUGUCCGGAUUUAUUGGGCGUAAAGCGAGCGCAGGCGGUUUCUUAAGUCUGAUGUGAAAGCCCCCGGCUCAACCGGGGAGGGUCAUUGGAAACUGGGAGACUUGAGGCAGAAG
rnacentral:rRNA from 1 species